rnacentral:tRNA from 5 species
GCACUGCUAGGUUAAUGGUAGACCACCUCACUUCGGAUGAGGCUGUGGAGGUUCGAGUCCUUCGCGGUGUG